rnacentral:rRNA from 1 species
UACGUAGGGCGCAAGCGUUAUCCGGAAUUAUUGGGCGUAAAGAGCUCGUAGGCGGUCUGUCGAGUCUGCUGUGAAAACUCAGGGCUUAACCCUGAGCUUGCAGUGGGUACGGGCAGACUAGAGUGCGGUAGGGGAGACUGGAAUUCCUGGUGUAGCGGUGAAAUGCGCAGAUAUCAGGAGGAACACCGGUGGCGAAGGCGGGUCUCUGGGCCGUAACUGACGCUGAGGAGCGAAAGCAUGGGGAGCGAACAGG